rfam:Picea glauca, whole genome shotgun sequence.
UACAACAUAGAAUUAAUGCAUUGAAUUCCAUUAUAACUAUGAAUUUAAUCAUGCUCAAGAUAGAGUAGUAUUGGGAUGGGUGACCACCCAAGAAGUCCUAGUGUUUUAC